rfam:Triticum aestivum genome assembly, contig: Triticum_aestivum_CS42_TGACv1_scaffold_376916_5AL
CAUCUACUCCCUCCGUUUGAAAUUACUUGUCGUAGAAAUGAAUGUAUCUAGAUAUAUUUUAUUUCUAGAUACAUCCAUUUUCGAGACAAGUAAUUCCAAAUGGAGGGAGUAGUAC